GAUCGAGUGAGCUGAGGAGCUUUGAGCUGCAGCAUGCUAUGUCGAACGGGUGUCCGUGCUAAGUUCGGUAUCGAUAUGGUGUUCUUGGGGAGCCCGAGACCACCAGGUUGUCUAAGGAGGGGUGUACCGGCCCAGGUCGGAAACGAAGCAGGUCAAAUCCCCCGUACUGUCCAGUAGUGGGAUAGUGCCUGUGAGUAGAUGCUGCAGUGCAGCCUUGGCAAGACAUCGAAACCCAAUCUUUU
rnacentral:SRP_RNA from 8 species